UACAGAGGGUGCAAGCGUUAAUCGGAUUUACUGGGCGUAAAGGGCGCGUAGGUGGUUAUUUAAGUGAGAUGUGAAAUCCCCGGGCUUAACCUGGGAACUGCGUCUUAUACUGGAUAACUGGAGUGCAAUAGAGGGUAGUGGAAUUUCCGGUGUAGCGGUGAAAUGCGUAGAUAUCGGAAGGAACACCAGUGGCGAAGGCGGCUACCUGGAUUGACACUGACACUGAGGCGCGAGAGCGUGGGGAGCAAACAGG
rnacentral:rRNA from 1 species